rnacentral:rRNA from 1 species
UACGUAGGUGGCAAGCGUUGUCCGGAUUUAUUGGGUUUAAAGGGUGCGUAGGCGGCUUUGUAUGUCAGUGGUGAAAUAUGGCAGCUCAACUGUCAGGGUGCCAUUGAUACUGCGGAGCUUGAGUACAGAUGAGGUAGGCGGAAUUGACGGUGUAGCGGUGAAAUGCUUAGAUAUCGUCAAGAACACCGAUAGCGAAGGCAGCUUACUGGGCUGUAACUGACGCUGAGGCACGAAAGUGUGGGGAUCAAACAGG